rnacentral:rRNA from 1 species
UACGGAGGAUGCAAGCGUUAUCCGGAUUUAUUGGGUUUAAAGGGUCCGCAGGCGGAUCAAUAAGUCAGUGGUGAAAGCCUGCAGCUUAACUGUAGAAUUGCCAUUGAUACUGUUGGUCUUGAGUGUGGUUGAAGUGGGCGGAAUAUGACAUGUAGCGGUGAAAUGCAUAGAGAUGUCAUAGAACACCGAUUGCGAAGGCAGCUCACUAAACCAUUACUGACGCUCAGGGACGAAAGCGUGGGUAGCGAACAGG